rnacentral:rRNA from 1 species
CACGUAGGGCGCAAGCGUUGUCCGGAAUUAUUGGGCGUAAAGAGCUCGUAGGCGGUCUGUUACGUCUGCUGUGAAAACCCUGGGCUUAACCCUGGGCUUGCAGUGGAUACGGGCAGACUAGAGGCAGGUAGGGGAGAAUGGAAUUCCCGGUGUAGUGGUGGAAUGCGUAGAUAUCGGGAGGAACACCAGUGGCGAAGGCGGUUGCCUGGGGCUUUGCUGACGCUGAUGCGCGAAAGCGUGGGGAGCGAACAGG